rnacentral:rRNA from 1 species
GACGAACGCUGGCGGCGUGCCUAACACAUGCAAGUCGAACGGGACUAUUCUGAAUUGAGGCUUCGGCCGAUUGAAGGUUUAGUCUAGUGGCGGACGGGUGAGUAACGCGUGAGCAACCUGCCCUUCAGUGGGGGACAACAGCUGGAAACGGCUGCUAAUACCGCAUAUUGCAUACAGAUCGCAUGGUCUGUAUAUGAAAGAUUUAUCGCUGAAGGAUGGGCUCGCGUCUGAUUAGCUAGUUGGUGAGGUAAUGGCUCACCAAGGCGACGAUCAGUAGCCGGACUGAGAGGUUGAACGGCCACAUUGGGACUGAGAUACGGCCCAGACUCCUACGGGAGGCAGCAGUGGGGAAUAUUGGGCAAUGGGCGCAAGCCUGACCCAGCAACGCCGCGUGAAGGAUGACUGCCCUAUGGGUUGUAAACUUCUUUUAUGUGGGAAUAAAAAAGGGAACGUGUUCCCUAUUGCAUGUACCACUAUGAAUAAGCAUCGGCUAACUCCGUGCCAGCCGCCGCUGUAAUAC